rnacentral:pre_miRNA from 1 species
UCUUUAGUAUAAUAUGCUCCAUCUAGUAUUUGGGGCAUACUUAUCCUAAAC